UGGGGAAUAUUGCACAAUGGGCGCAAGCCUGAUGCAGCCAUGCCGCGUGUAUGAAGAAGGCCUUCGGGUUGUAAAGUACUUUCAGCGAGGAGGAAGGCGGUAAGGUUAAUAACCUUAUCGAUUGACGUUACUCGCAGAAGAAGCACCGGCUAACUCCGUGCCAGCAGCCGCGGUAAUACGGAGGGUGCAAGUGUUAAUCGGAAUUACUGGGCGUAAAGCGCACGCAGGCGGUCUGUCAAGUCGGAUGUGAAAUCCCCGGGCUCAACCUGGGAACUGCAUUCGAAACUGGCAGGCUAGAGUCUUGUAGAGGGGGGUAGAAUUCCAGGUGUAGCGGUGAAAUGCGUAGAGAUCUGGAGGAAUACCGGUGGCGAAGGCGGCCCCCUGGACAAAGACUGACGCUCAGGUGCGAAAGCGUGGGGAGCAAACA
rnacentral:rRNA from 1 species